CGGCGGACGGGUGAGUAAUGCCUAGGAAUCUGCCUGGUAGUGGGGGACAACGUUUCGAAAGGAACGCUAAUACCGCAUACGUCCUACGGGAGAAAGUGGGGGAUCUUCGGACCUCACGCUAUCAGAUGAGCCUAGGUCGGAUUAGCUAGUUGGUGGGGUAACGGCUUACCAAGGCAACGAUACGUAGCCGACCUGAGAGGGUGAUCAGUCACACUGGAACUGAGACACGGUCCAG
rnacentral:rRNA from 1 species